rnacentral:rRNA from 1 species
CACGUAGGGUGCGAGCGUUUGUCCGGAAUUAUUGGGCGUAAAGAGCUCGUAGGCGGUGUGUCGCGUCGGCCGUGAAAACCUGCAGCUUAACUGUGGGCUUGCGGUCGAUACGGGCAUCACUGGAGUUCGGCAGGGGAGACUGGAAUUCCUGGUGUAGCGGUGAAAUGCGCAGAUAUCAAGGAGGGAACACCCGGUGGCGAAGGCGGGUCUCUGGGCCGAUACUGACGCUGGAGGAAGCGAAAGCAUGGGGAGCGAACAGG